rnacentral:lncRNA from 1 species
UCUCUUGUUUGAGUUGUUCUUCAAUUCUUUUGUGAUGAAUAUCAUCUUUCAGGAAUUGAAGAUGUUUAGUCUUAUUAGAGAUUAUGUUUAAGGAUCGCGAAGUGCUAUCCUUCUGUAGGUGCCUAAGUUUUUUGAGGUCUGUUUCCAGGCAGAACUCAAAAGUGACUUUCUGUCCUAAGACUUUUGAGGUAAUCCUAUUAUGAUGUGUUUUAAAAGGAUAGAGGAGUGCUAUAAAGGAUAGUCCUAAUAUGACAGGGUCAGAUAAGUUCUUAAUUAGAACAAAAGGUGUUUUGAAGCAAACUUCAUUUUGGCAGACAUGUGCCUUAGGAAGUUCAUAUUUGAUUUCCAUUGGAGAUUCAUUAGCAGCACUAAGGAUUUCCUUGGAUUUGUGAAAAUACCUAGUGGGAAUUAGGCCUUCUUGAAUACAAUUCAAGUCUGCUCCUGAAUCUAUUAAUGCAAUUGUUUCGAAACGAAAAUCUUCAAUUACUAUUGUUACUUUAGAAUACCAUUUUUGGAUUCUAAUUUUAUGAAGAAGAUUCAGAACUAAGUGUUCUGCAUGUGUAUCAGAUUCUGAUUCAUGGUGACUACUGGAAGAAGAGGAACUGAAUACUUCUUCUUUUGGAGGAGUAUUAACUCUAGUGAGUUGUGUACGAAUGUCGUAGUUAUCAGUUUUUAGGAACUUAAUUUCUUCUUUUAUUUUAUUAAUUUCUUUUUGAAGGUCGCUGACCGUGAUUUCUUUCUUAGUCUUACUAAACUUUGCUAGUGUAGAACUAAGAGAGAUUUGUGGUUUCUGAAUUUGAGAUUGGCUAGUGCCUACUUCUUCUUGAGAGACUAAGUUUUUAAGUUUUU